UACAGAGGUCUCAAGCGUUGUUCGGAUUCAUUGGGCGUAAAGGGUGCGUAGGCGGCGCGGUAAGUCGGGUGUGAAAUCUUGGAGCUUAACUCCGAAACUGCAUUCGAUACUGCCGUGCUUGAGGACUGGAGAGGAGACUGGAAUUUACGGUGUAGCGGUGAAAUGCGUAGAUAUCGUAAGGAAGACCAGUUGCGAAGGCGGGUCUCUGGACAGUUCCUGACGCUGAGGCACGAAGGUCAGGGGAUCAAACGGG
rnacentral:rRNA from 1 species